rnacentral:rRNA from 1 species
UACGAAGGGUGCAAGCGUUACUCGGAAUUACUGGGCGUAAAGCGUGCGCAGGCGGUUCGCCAAGUCAGGUGUGAAAUCCCCGGGCUUAACCUGGGAAUUGCGCUUGAAACUAGCGGGCUUGAGUGUGGCAGAGGGGGGUGGAAUUCCACGUGUAGCAGUGAAAUGCGUAGAGAUGUGGAGGAACACCGAUGGCGAAGGCAGCCCCCUGGGUCAACACUGACGCUCAUGCACGAAAGCGUGGGGAGCAAACAGG